CGGCCGCCGCGCGCGAGGCGGGUGCCGACGCCGCCAUCGACGGCGAUUCGUGGCAGAAAAUGGCAGUGAUGGCAGUGCUCGGGACGCCUUGGCAGCCGGCCA
rnacentral:tRNA from 1 species